rnacentral:ncRNA from 1 species
GACAAAGACUUAGUCCUAACCUUACCGUUGGUUGUUGCUAGGUAUAUACAUGCGAGUAUCCGCGCACCAGUGUAGACGCCCUGGGUACCCUAAAUCUUAGGUCGACAGGAGCAGGUAUCAGGCACACCCAUGCUGUAGCCCAAAACGCCUUGCAAUUGCCACGCCCCCACGGGUCCUCAGCAGUAAUUAGUAUUAAGCAAUGAGUGCAAACUUGACUUAGCCAUAGCAAAUCAGGGGCGGUAAAUCCUGUGCCAGCCACCGCGGUCAUACAGGAGACCCAAAUCAACGUUAUAACGGCGUAAAGUGUGGUCACAUGUUAUCUAAAGUAGCUAAGAUUAAAAGGCAACUGAGCUGUCGCAAGCCCAAGAUGCCCAUAAGGCCUCUACCAAAGAAAAUCUUAGACCAAAGAUCUAUUGAAACCCACGAAAGCCAGGGCCCAAACUGGGAUUAGAUACCCCACUAUGCCUGGCCCUAAAUCUUGAUGCUCGAUCUUACCGGAGCAUCCGCCCGAGAACUACGAGCACAAACGCUUAAAACUCUAAGGACUUGGCGGUGCUCCAAACCCACCUAGAGGAGCCUGUUCUAUAACUCGAUGAUCCACGAUAUACCUGACCAUUCCUUGCCAGAACAGCCUAUAUACCGCCGUCGCCAGCCCACCCCGCAUGAAGGCCCAACAGUGGACGCAAUAGCCUUACCCCGCUAAUAAGACAGGUCAAGGUAUAGCCUAUGGAAUGGAAGCAAUGGGCUACAUUUUCUAGACUAGAACACAACGGCAAAGGGACUUGAAACUGUCCCUGGAAGGCGGAUUUAGCAGUAAAGAGAGACAAUCGAGCCCUCUUUAAGCCGGCCCUAGAGCACGUACAUACCGCCCGUCACCCUCCUCAAAAGCGACCCC